rnacentral:rRNA from 1 species
UUUUCACCAUGGGGACCUGAGGUAAAAGAUUUUAUCGCUGAUAGAUGGGCUCGCGUCCCGAUUAGAUAGUUGGUGGGGGUAAACGGCCUACCAAGUCGACGAUCGGUAGCCGGACUGAGAGGUCGAACGGCCACAUUGGGACUGAGACACGGCCCAGACUCCUACGGGAGGCAGCAGUGGGGGAUAUUGCACAAUGGGGGAAACCCUGAUGCAGCGACGCCGCGUGGAGGAAGAAGGUUUUCGGAUUGUAAACUCCUGUCGUUAGGGACGAUAAUGACGGUACCUAACAAGAAAGCACCGGCUAACUACGUG